GCGAGCGCAUGGCGAUUGUGCGCCCCCAAAUUCUCGAGCUAUGGAGGCGCCAUAAUAUCUUUCUCGUGCUUGGUCGAUUGGGGGGGAUUCCGUGCUGUCCCGGAUCUGGAACAAGGAGCUUGAGAUUUCAGGCUGGGCAUACUGCUCGAGGUGUUCUUGCUUUAAACUUAUUUUCGUUUUUAUGAGCCUCUUACAUAUAUCCUGGGAAGUCCAAUACCGAUUCGAGGUACGAGUUUAUUUUUCAGAAGAAAGAAUUACCUCCCAGAGUU